AUACCCCGGUAGUCCNAUCAGUGANCGAUGGAUACUAGGUGNNGGUGGUNGUGACCCUACCAGUGACGAAGCUAACCCUUNAAGUAUCCCNCCUGGNGAGUACGGCGGCAAGGAUAAUACUCAAAGUAAUUGACGGGGGCCCGCACAAGCAGCGGAGCUUGUGGUUUAAUUCGACGCAACGCGCAGAACCUUACCAGGGUUUGACAUACAUACGACAGGGGCGGAAACGUCCUCUCCCUUCGGGGCGUAUGCACAGAUGCUGCAUGGCUGUCGUCAGCUCGUGCCGUGAGGUGUUGGGUUAAGUCCCGCAACGAGCGCAACCCUCGUCGCUAGUUGAAUUCUCUAGCGAGACCGCCGGUAGAAAACCGGAGGAAGGUGGGGAUGACGUCAAGUCAGCAUGGCUCUUACAUCCUGGGCUACACACACGCUACAAUGGCCGGUACAAUGGGCUGCCAAGGGGCGACCCGGGGCUAAUCCCAAAAACCCGGUCUCAGUUCGGAUUGCAGGCUGCAACUCGCCUGCAUGAAGUCGGAGNUGCUAGUAACCGCAAGUCAGCAC
rnacentral:rRNA from 1 species